rnacentral:lncRNA from 10 species
UAUCGAACCACUCUAUUGAAUUUUUCAAUUCAGUUAUUGUGUUCUUCAGCUUUAUAAUUUAUGACAUCUAAAAGGAUCAAUGAAGGAAUGUAUGCCUAGACUAUAUCAAGCUUUUAAAAUAUAGUAUCAUACAAGUCAUAUGCAGUUUUUGCAUUUUUUCUAACACUGAAAUUUAUGAAAUAUAUAUACAUAAAUUCUUCUUAAGCACCAGUUGAUUUUUGUUUGUCACUGACUUAGUGAUUGACUCAAUUAAACAGAAUGUAUUCUGUUUAAUUUUCUAUAUAUGCAUUAUGUAUUCAUUCAUAACUAUCGUUUAGAAACAAAGUGAAGAGACAACCUACAGGAUGGGAAAAAAAAAAAAAUUUGCAAACUACCCAUCUGAUGAGGGAUUAAUAACUGGAAUAUAUAAG